UGAGGAAUAUUGGACAAUGGACGAAAGUCUGAUCCAGCCAUGCCGCGUGCAGGAUGACGGCCCUAUGGGUUGUAAACUGCUUUUAUACAGGAAGAAACACUCCCACGUGUGGGGGCUUGACGGUACUGUACGAAUAAGGAUCGGCUAACUCCGUGCCAGCAGCCGCGGUAAUACGGAGGAUCCAAGCGUUAUCCGGAAUUAUUGGGUUUAAAGGGUCCGCAGGCGGUCUAUUAAGUCAGAGGUGAAAUCUUGCAGCUCAACUGUAAAAUUGCCUUUGAUACUGGUAGACUUGAGUCAUUGUGAAGUGGUUAGAAUGUGUGGUGUAGCGGUGAAAUGCAUAGAUAUCACACAGAAUACCAAUUGCGAAGGCAGAUCACUAACAAUGUACUGACGCUCAUGGACGAAAGCGUGGGGAGCGAACAGG
rnacentral:rRNA from 1 species